rnacentral:rRNA from 1 species
AUGGCCGCGCCCACGCAGAGCAGCCCGCUCCGCCGAUGGAAGCGUUUCUUCCGCGCCUUCGACUCUGUGGACGCCGCCAUCAAGCCCUCCGACCCUGACCACUCACGCGACGAGCUCCGGCGCGCCAGGGUCAACAUCGUGGAGCAGCUCUGCGACGCCGCCGACGACGAUCAGGCGGAGCGCCUCUGCAAGAUUCUCGACGACCACAUGGCGGAGUCCCUUGAGACGCUGCGGCUGGUUCCGGUGAUGCCAAGCGUGUUGGCCUCCACGGACCUCGGCAAGUCCGUCUGCGCGCUGCGCAGGCACGAGUCGGAGCGCGUCCGCGUCCUGGCCAGAGGUCUCGUGAGCGGGUGGAGGGCGUCGAUGAAGGACGAACUCGCCAAGGUCAGAGACGCUCUGCACAAGCUUGACAACAUCAACGUGCCGCAGAACAAGGAGGUCACCAUCGAUCAGCAGACCGUGGGAAUCAGCAAGAAGGCGUCCCCCGCCGGUGACCGUGCUGGGCUCUGCUCCGAGGAGAAGAUGGAAGCUGCGAAACGCAAGUUCCACCAAGCUUACCAAGAAGCAGAGGACGCCAAACGGCGGCGCAGGACGCAGUUGGUGCAGGCGCCCAAGAUGAUGCAGCCAAUCAGGAGGUGCACCAGCUCCAUGGUCAAGAAAACCUUCGCGAUCAAGACGCAGCUUCACAUGGCUUAG